rnacentral:misc_RNA from 1 species
CGUAGGUGAACCUGCGGAAGGAUCAUUCAUAAUAAAGUGUUUUAUGGCACUUUUUAAAAAAUCCAUAUCCACCUUGUGUGCAAUGUUAGAUCUCGUCAAUCUUGGCGAGAUUUUUAUACAUCAACUCAUUCUUUAACUAAUUUGUCUGAAAAAAAUUAUGAAUACUUAAUUCAAAAUACAACUUUCAACAACGGAUCUCUUGGCUCUC